UACGUAGGUGACGAGCGUUAUCCGGAAUUAUUGGGCGUAAAGCGUCCGCAGGUGGCUGUGUAAGUCUGCUGUUAAAGAGUGAGGCUCAACCUCAUAAGAGCAGUGGAAACUACACAGCUAGAGUGCGUUCGGGGCAGAGGGAAUUCCUGGUGUAGCGGUGAAAUGCGUAGAGAUCAGGAAGAACACCGGUGGCGAAGGCGCUCUGCUAGGCCGCAACUGACACUGAGGGACGAAAGCUAGGGGAGCGAAUGGG
rnacentral:rRNA from 1 species